rnacentral:rRNA from 1 species
GCCUACGGCCAUACCACCCUGAAAGCGCCCGAUCUUGUCUGAUCUCAGAAGCUAAGCAGGGACGGGCCUGGUUAGUACCUGAAUGGGAGACCGCCUGGGAAUACCAGGUGUUGUAGGCU